rnacentral:rRNA from 1 species
UAGGGAAUCUUCCACAAUGGGCGCAAGCCUGAUGGAGCAACACCGCGUGAGUGAAGAAGGGUUUCGGCUCGUAAAGCUCUGUUGUUAAAGAAGAACACGUAUGAGAGUAACUGUUCAUACGUUGACGGUAUUUAACCAGAAAGUCACGGCUAACUACGUGCCAGCAGCCGCGGUAAUACGUAGGUGGCAAGCGUUAUCCGGAUUUAUUGGGCGUAAAGAGAGUGCAGGCGGUUUUCUAAGUCUGAUGUGAAAGCCUUCGGCUUAACCGGAGAAGUGCAUCGGAAACUGGAUAACUUGAGUGCAGAAGAGGGUAGUGGAACUCCAUGUGUAGCGGUGGAAUGCGUAGAUAUAUGGAAGAACACCAGUGGCGAAGGCGGCUACCUGGUCUGCAACUGACGCUGAGACUCGAAAGCAUGGGUAGCGAACAGGAUUAGAUACCCUGGUAGUCCAUGCCGUAAACGAUGAGUGCUAGGUGUUGGAGGGUUUCCGCCCUUCAGUGCCGGAGCUAACGCAUUAAGCACUCCGCCUGGGGAGUACGACCGCAAGGUU